rnacentral:hammerhead_ribozyme from 2 species
AUCAGCUGUUACCUGCAGCUGAUGAGCUCCAAAAAGAGCGAAAACACUUAGGUCCUGUAGUACUGACCUAGGAGUGU